rnacentral:misc_RNA from 1 species
UGAGAUUUCAUCUAUUGUUAUCAUUACUUUAAUACCAUUAUUUUGAUUAAUAUCAUUAAAAUUACAUUUAAAGUCCAAAGUGUUUCAUAUGUCUGGUGGAGGGUAAAUUUGAAGGGAAAGAGACAUUACUUUGAACUUUGUUGAUUUACUCUUCAGAAAUUUUAUGAGAUAUCAAGUUUGAUUUCCAAUUUUAAUUCAAAUAAAAAAUAAAUGGCGAACUGUCA